rnacentral:rRNA from 1 species
GAUGAACGCUAGCUACAGGCUUAACACAUGCAAGUCGAGGGGAAACGCCAUCGAAAGCUUGCUUUUGAUGGGCGUCGACCGGCGCACGGGUGAGUAACGCGUAUCCAACCUGCCCAUCACUUGGGAAUAACCUUGCGAAAGUAGGACUAAUACCCAAUGACAUCCCACGAAGACAUCUGAAUGGGAUUAAAGAUUUAUCGGUGAUGGAUGGGGAUGCGUCUGAUUAGCUUGUUGGCGGGGUAACGGCCCACCAAGGCAACGAUCAGUAGGGGUUCUGAGAGGAAGGUCCCCCACAUUGGAACUGAGACACGGUCCAAACUCCUACGGGAGGCAGCAGUGAGGAAUAUUGGUCAAUGGGCGAGAGCCUGAACCAGCCAAGUAGCGUGCAGGAGGACGGCCCUAUGGGUUGUAAACUGCUUUUAUAAGGGAAUAAAGUGGGUCUCGUGAGACUUUUUGCAUGUACCUUAUGAAUAAGGACCGGCUAAUUCCGUG